UCGAGAAUCUUUCGCAAUGCCCGCAAGGGUGACGAAGCGACGCCGCGUGCGGGAAGAAGGCCUUCGGGUUGUAAACCGCUGUCGGGAGUUAGGAAGUGCAAGGAUGUUAAUAGCGUUCUUGCUUGACUAAGGCUCCGGAGGAAGCCACGGCUAACUCUGUGCCAGCAGCCGCGGUAAUACAGAGGCGGCAAGCGUUGUUCGGAAUUAUUGGGCGUAAAGAGCACGUAGGCGGCUGUGUAAGUCGGUUGUGAAAGCCUUCCGCUUAACGGAAGAACGGCAUCCGAUACUGCAUAGCUUGAGUGCGGGAGGGGAGAGUGGAACUUCUGGUGGAGCGGUGAAAUGCGUAGAUAUCAGAAGGAACACCGGCGGCGAAGGCGACUCUCUGGUCCGUAACUGACGCUGAGUGUGCGAAAGCUAGGGGAGCAAACGGGAUUAGAUACCCCGGUAGUCCUAGCCGUAAACGAUGGG
rnacentral:rRNA from 1 species